rnacentral:rRNA from 1 species
AGCGCAGGCGGAUUGGUAAGUGGAAAGUGGAAUCCCGGGGCUCAACCUCGGAAGUGCUUUCCAUACUGCCAGUCUUGAGUUCGUGAGAGGAAAGCGGAAUUCAGGGUGUAGCGGUGAAAUGCUUAGAUAUCCUGAGGAACACUAAUGGCGAAAGCAGCUUUCUGGCGCGAUACUGACGCUGAGGCUCGAAAGCGUGGGGAGCGAACAGGAUUAGAUACCCUGGUAGUCC